rnacentral:rRNA from 1 species
UCUCUUAUGGUUGACCUCGG